CUAUCUAUCUAUCUAUCUAUCUAUCUAUCUAUCUAUCUAUCUAUCUAUCUAUCUAUCUAUCUAUCUAUCUAUCUAUCUAUCUAUCUAUCUAUCCACACCAGCACCUAACACUUAACACAACCUUUGAGGGGAACAAUAUGUGUAAGUGACCACUAGAGGUCGCUAGAGGUAAUUCAUUCACAUUCAGGUCAUUUAUGUGAUUGGGUUUGAGGCUGUGAGCCCAGAAACCUGUAUUGUCGAUCAGCAGUUAAACUUGUCAGAUUUCUCUCAUGUCAGAAGCUCAGUGACAUAUGUAUUAUAUAAUUCCCUUUUUUCACAUUGUUUUGUUAAGCUGCUUUGUCUUAUGUCUACACAUUUGUGUGCUGUUUAGCACAGAUAUCAUCAAGCUAGCGGCUAACUCAGGAAGCAGCAAGUUUAAAGUUUGCACCCUUGGUGAGCGGAGCGAGACUGUUGUACGGUCACAUUGGAUUUGAAAGCAACAUCCUUUCUUCCAUACAUCCACGCUACCUGAAAGACGACAGCUUCCUGAAUCCAACGAUACCAGAUAUGUGCACAUCGGACCUCCGCUUCAAAAGAUACGGCCAGAUACUACAAAAAUACUACAUUUGAAAAAGGAUUCUUGAAAGUGCAGUACCUUUGUGUGACCACAAGAUGUAGGUGUCACAUCACCUAUGAACCUACCCUAUGUUAAAAUCAUACACACUUGUAAAGACUGUUGUACGGUCACAUUGGAUUUGAAAGCAACAUCCUUUUCUUCCAUACAUCCGCGCUACCUGAAAGACGACAGCUUCCUGAAUCCAACGAUACCAGAUAUGUGCACAUCGGACCUCCGCUUCAAAAGAUACGGCCAGAUACUACAAAAAUACUACAUUUGAAAAAGGAUUCUUGAAAGUGCAGUACCUUUGUUUGACCACAAGAUGUAGGUGUCACAUCACCUAUGAACCUACCCUAUGUUAAAAUCAUACACACUUGUAAAGACUGUUGUACGGUCACAUUGGAUUUGAAAGCAACAUCCUUUCUUCCAUACAUCCAAGCUACCUGAAAGACGACAGCUUCCUGAAUCCAACGAUACCAGUUAUGUGCACAUCGGACCUCCGCUUCAAAAGAUACGGCCAGACUGUUGUACGGUCACAUUGGAUUUGAAAGCAACAUCCUUUCUUCCAUACAUCCACGCUACCUGAAAGACGACAGCUUCCUGAAUCCAACGAUACCAGAUAUGUGCACAUUGGACCUCCGCUUCAAAAGAUACGGCCAGACUGUUGUACGGUCACAUUGGAUUUGAAAGCAACAUCCUUUCUUCCAUACAUCCACGCUGCCUGAAAGACGACAGCUUCCUGAAUCCAACGAUACCAGUUAUGUGCACAUCGGACCUCCGCUUCAAAAGAUACGGCCAGACUGUUGUAAGGUCACAUUGGAUUUGAAAGCAACAUCCUUUCUUCCAUACAUCCGCGCUACCUGAAAGACGACAGCUUCCUGAAUCCAACGAUACCAGAUAUGUGCACAUCGGACCUCCGCUUCAAAAGAUAUGGCCAGACUGUUGUACGGUCACAUUGGAUUUGAAAGCAACAUCCUUUCUUCCAUACAUCCACGCUACCUGAAAGACGACAGCUUCCUGAAUCCAACGAUACCAGUUAUGUGCACAUCGGACCUCCGCUUCAAAAGAUACGGCCAGACUGUUGUACGGUCACAUUGGAUUUGAAAGCAACAUCCUUUCUUCCAUACAUCCACGCUACCUGAAAGACGACAGCUUCCUGAAUCCAACGAUACCAGUUAUGUGCACAUCGGACCUCCGCUUCAAAAGAUACGGCCAGACUGUUGUAAGGUCACAUUGGAUUUGAAAGCAACAUCCUUUCUUCCAUACAUCCACGCUACCUGAAAGACGACAGCUUCCUGAAUCCAACGAUACCAGUUAUGUGCACAUCGGACCUCCGCUUCAAAAGAUACGGCCAGCACAGAUACCAUCAAGCUAGCGGCUAACUCAGGAAGCAGCAAGUUUAAAGUUUGCACCCUUGACUUUAGACUGUUGUACGGUCACAUUGGAUUUGAAAGAAACAUCCUUUCUUCCAUACAUCCACGCUGCCUGAAAGACGACAGCUUCCUGAAUCCAACGAUACCAGAUAUGUGCACAUCGGACCUCCGCUUCAAAAGAUACGGCCAGAUACUACAAAAAUACUACAUUUGAAAAAGGAUUCUUGAAAGUGCAGUACCUUUGUGUGACCACAAGAUGUAGGUGUCACAUCACCUAUGAACCUACCCUAUGUUAAAAUCAUACACACUUGUAAAGACUGUUGUACGGUCACAUUGGAUUUGAAAGCAACAUCCUUUCUUCCAUACAUCCACGCUAUCUGAAAGACGACAGCUUCCUGAAUCCAACUAUACCAGAUAUGUGAACAUCGGACCUCCGCUUCAAAAGAUACGGCCAGACUGUUGUAAGGUCACAUUGGAUUUGAAAGCAACAUCCUUUCUUCCAUACAUCUGCGCUACCUGAAAGACGACAGCUUCCUGAAUCCAACGAUACCAGUUAUGUGCACAUCGGACCUCCGCUUCAAAAGAUAUGGCCAGGUAAGCUUUGGCCAAUCAGAUCGCAUAUGCUAAUGAGGGUGGAAUUAAUGAGGGUGAAACUCGUUUUUAUCUAUAUACCUAGUUGCAAUUAACCCCAGACUAGCCCCUAACCCUAACCAUAAACUGCUAGCCCUAGCCUCACUAACCACUAGACUUAACCCACUAACCCAGCCCUGACCCACAAACUUUAAACAUUCAUUAACGCAAAACUUCAUCAAAUUCUGUACAGAAAUGACAUCAAACUAAUCUCUAUCUAUCUAUCUAUCUAUCUAUCUAUCUAUCUAUCUAUCUAUCUAUCUAUCUAUCUAUCUAUCUAUCUAUCUAUCUAUCUAUCUAUCCACACCAGCACC